rnacentral:lncRNA from 1 species
UUCCAUCCAUAAUUCUUUUCUCCUUCUUCUCUCUUCUCUCUCUCUUCACUCUCUGUUUGUCGCCUCUACGCCGCCGCCGGAAAUCUCCCAACGGCGGCGGACCACCUCCAAACACCUCCAAAUUCACACCAUAUAAUCUCCAAUACUUCCUCUUUCCAUAUCUCCAAACCAAAUCCUUCAAAACCCCUCAAACUCCUUGAAUCUUAGAUCUAGAAAACUUUUCCGUCACUUUUUUGCCCAAAUUCUAGAAGCUCCAACCACUACCACCCCACAAUACCUACAUCAACAGAUAGAUCUCCUCAAGACCUAGCUAUUGAUGCCAAUUUUACACUAAAAUCCGGUGAUCAAAAUCUGACCAAAUUUCGGCGGCCUUCCCGAACACCCUCUUUUGGCAUACCACCAUUUUUUGGCCACUUGAAUUGUAAAAUGGUAAAAAUCCUAUUCUUUUUCAUGGCUAAUUUUUUAUUUUAUUUUUAUUUUUCAGAUUUUAUUUUGUCUAUUAUUAAUUAUUUUAGCAUUAGUUUUUGAAGUUUGAAAUGUUAAAUUUUCUGUUUUUGCACUCGUUGAAGUAGUAAAAUAGCUUUGUAUUGAUUAAAGUGAGAUAGUGAGGAAAUACUUGAGAGUAUAUGGUAAAAUCGUAAUCCCGCCCCAUUAUUAAUUUUCUGAUUUUUUAGGUUAGAAUUAGUUUCUGUCUUGUUUCUUUAUUUAAUCCCUUUCGGAUUAUGUUCGUCUAAUUAGUUUGUUAAAUCGCUUCAGCGAUAGCGUGUGUUCUGUGUGGCUUAAUAGUUAAUUUUUGUUUGCUCAUGUUGGUUCAUAGUACAUGUGUUGAAGUUUAAUUAAAUGUUUUAACACUUGGUUUAAUUUGAAUCAAUAGGGUGUUAUUGGUAUUGUUAAAAUCUGAAAUUUAGAUAUUCUUCUCACAAAAUAGGGUGCUAGUAGCCUACUUUUACUAGUAGGGUGGCUGAAAUGACAUUUUUUCUCCUUGCUUCUGACAUAGUAGUGUUUGGACAGAUUUUGAAUAGUGUUUAGCACACAAUGUCAGUCCUUGUGGGGUAGACUUUUGGUGAACCAAAAUCUAUCUAAAAAGUUAGCUUUUCUUUGCCUAUUUAAGGGGCUGCCCUUUCCUCAUUAUAGGGGGGACUCCAUCACACUUCCAUAGAGCUUUUAGAAUUACUUUGAACACACAAAAACAUAAAAAAAAUUCAACGGUUGAACACAUGAAAAAUAAACUGAAAUGGUGAGCUUUAGGAGUGAAUUUUAGAGUGCAAACUUUUAGAAAAGUAUUAGUCCUCUUUAGAGUUCGUUUCUGGGUUUUUCUCUAAGUUUUUGGGCUGUUUUAACACGGAUUUGUUGCUGGUUCUCUGCUGCUUUAGUUGCUGAACUACUGUUUAUUCUUUUGCUAUCCAGGUAAUCCUUUAAGACUUGUAAUGUAUGUAUUUUCAGCAAUGGAAACAACUUGAACAUGCUGCACUAUUUAAAUGUGUUUGAUGUGAUGAAUAGUUCGAUAAAAAAAGAGCUUUGUAUGUUAUUGUUAGGUAUCAAGCAUGUGAUAAUGUGAAUAUAGUCCUUCAUAAUACUUGAAUAUUGAGUUGUAAGUUUUUUUGAAUGUGAUAUGUAAGUCGUUUAUGGAUUUUUAAGCAUGUUUUCAAGCUAUUGUAUCCAAGUAACAAUGCUAAGUAUGCCAUGAAUGACUUUAGGUGUAUAACAUGUAGCAUGAGUUCGUUUUAGUUGCUGAAAUUUCACUGCCAAUAUAUGCUUCUAGGAAUGCUGUGAUAAUAUCUUUGUGAAUCUAGCCAUUUUGUCGGAUUUGCAAGUGGCUAUUUUUGUAAAGUGGGCGUUUAUAAAAUCGUG